rnacentral:rRNA from 1 species
CCCCUAGAUGUUCUGGGCCGCACGCGCGCUACACUGAACAGUUCAACAAGUCUUAACCUUGGCCGAUAGGUCUGGGUAAUCUUUGAACGCUGUUCGUGAUUGGGAUAGACCUUUGCAAUUAUGGGUCUUCAACGAGGAAUUCCUAGUAAACGCAAGUCAUCAGCUUGCAUUGAUUACGUCCCUGCCCUUUGUACACACCGCCCGUCGCACCUACCGAUUGAAUGGUCCGGUGAAAUCUCGGGACGGCGGCUUGGUCGCUUGCGUCCGACUGCUGAAACUUGAUUAAACCAUAUCAUUUAGAGGAAGGUGGANUCGUANCA